rnacentral:rRNA from 1 species
GACGAACGCUGGCGGCGUGCUUAACACAUGCAAGUGGUGCGACGAACCAGGCUUCGGCCUGGGGCAAAGCCGCGAACGGGUGAGUAACACGUGAGUAAUCUGCCCCGAUGACCGGGACAACCCGAGGAAACUCGGGCUAAUACCGGAUGAUGAGCCAAGGCGUAAGCCUUUUCUCUAAAGGAAGCUUCGGCCUCCGCAUCGGGAGGAGCUCGCGGCCCAUUAGCUAGUUGGUGGGGUAACGGCCUACCAAGGCGACGAUGGGUAGCUGGUCUGAGAGGACGAUCAGCCACACUGGGACUGAGACACGGCCCAGACUCCUACGGGAGGCAG